CCUACGGGUGACAGCAGUGAGGAAUAUUGGUCAAUGGGCGUGAGCCUGAACCAGCCAAGUCGCGUGAAGGAUGACUGUUCUAUGGGUCGUAAACCUCUUUUAUAAAGGAAUAAAGUGUGGCACGUGUCCUUUUUUGUAUGUACUUUAUGAAUAAGGAUCGGCUAACUCCGUGCCAGCAGCCGCGGUAAUACGGAGGAUCCGAGCGUUAUCCGGAUUUAUUGGGUUUAAAGGGUGCGUAGGUGGGUUGUUAAGUCAGUGGUGAAAGACUGUGGCUCAACCGUAAAAUUGCAAUUGAUACUGGCAGGCUUGAGUACAUUUGAGGCAGGCGGAAUGCGUGGUGUAGCGGUGAAAUGCUUAGAUAUCACGCAGAACUCCGAUUGCGAAGGCAGCCUGCUAAGCCACCACUGACGCUGAUGCACGAAAGUGUGGGUAUCAAACAGGAUUAGAUACCCCAGUAGUC
rnacentral:rRNA from 1 species